GAUGAACGCUGGCGGCGUGCCUAAUACAUGCAAGUAGAACGCUGAAGGAGGAGCUUGCUCUUCUGGAUGAGUUGCGAACGGGUGAGUAACGCGUAGGUAACCUGCCUGGUAGCGGGGGAUAACUAUUGGAAACGAUAGCUAAUACCGCAUGACAACAGUUAUUGCAUGAUAACUGUUUAAAAGGGGCAACUGCUCCACUACCAGAUGGACCUGCGUUGUAUUAGCUAGUUGGUGAGGUAACGGCUCACCAAGGCGACGAUACAUAGCCGACCUGAGAGGGUGAUCGGCCACACUGGGACUGAGACACGGCCCAGACUCCUACGGGAGGCAGCAGUAGGGAAUCUUCGGCAAUGGACGGAAGUCUGACUGAGCAACGCCGCGUGAGUGAAGAAGGUUUUCGGAUCGUAAAGCUCUGUUGUAAGAGAAGAACGAGUGUGAGAGUGGAAAGUUCACACUGUGACGGUAUCUUACCAGAAAGGGACGGCUAACUACGUG
rnacentral:rRNA from 1 species